UAGGGAAUCUUGCGCAAUGAGGGAAACCUUGACGCAGCGACGCCGCGUGCGGGAUGAAGGCCUUCGGGUUGUAAACCGCUUUCAGCAGGGACGAAAUUGACGGUACCUGCAGAAGAAGGCCCGGCCAACUACGUGCCAGCAGCCGCGGUAAUACGUAGGGGCCUAGCGUUGUCCGGAUUUAUUGGGCGUAAAGAGCUCGUAGGCGGUUCGGUAAGUCAGGUGUGAAAUCUCCACGCUCAACGUGGAGGCGCCACCUGAAACUGCCGUGACUAGAGUCCGGUAGGGGAGUGUGGAAUUCCCGGUGUAGCGGUGAAAUGCGCAGAUAUCGGGAGGAACACCAGUGGCGAAGGCGGCACUCUGGGCCGGAACUGACGCUGAGGAGCGAAAGCGUGGGGGAGCGAACAGGAUUAGAUACCCUGGUAGUCCACGCCGUAAACGUUGGGCACUAGGGUGUGGGACUCUAUCGACGGGUUCCGUGCCGUAGCUAACGCAUUAAGUGCCCCGCU
rnacentral:rRNA from 1 species